GUCUUGAAGAGUAUCACACACACUCAAGCAGAUGCGAAGGCCGUCUUCAGAGAUCCCACAGGUGAGAUGCAGGGUACGGUUCAUCGUCGCCUGGUAGAGAAAAGACUGGGAGAGCUCAAGACAGGAGCUGUGUUACUACUCAAACAAGUUGGUGUAUUUUCACCGUCACACCGAAAUCACUACCUGAACGUCACACCCAAUAACCUUCUCAGGAUAUACCCACCGGAUGGGGUCUACCAUAACUCCCAGCAAUCCCACCCUCCACUAAUGACCUUGAUGAGCUGCUCGGGGAGUUACCUGUGGGGGAAUAUAACGGAUUACAUUGAUCACACGGUCACUUUAUAUACAGAGUGUAAUUGUAGAGCAUGUCUCAUAUUAAUACAUAUUAUAACCAUACACACUAAUAAACAAGCAACACCUGCUACCCAAAGACUACUUUUGUUCAGGUUUUGUGUACACCUUUGUAAAUAUGUACAUAAAUCACUUGCAUAAGUCUCAUGCAUAAAUUGAAAAAAUAAAUACCCGA